rnacentral:rRNA from 1 species
ACUCCUACGGGAGGCAGCAGUGGGGAAUAUUGGACAAUGGGCGAAAGACCUGAUCCAGCCAUGCCGCGUGUGUGAAGAAGGUCUUCGGAUUGUAAAGCACUUUAAGUUGGGAGGAAGGGUUGUAGAUUAAUACUCUGCAAUUUUGUACGUUACCGACAGAAUAAGCACCGGCUAACUCUGUGCCAGCAGCCGCGGUAAUACAGAGGGUGCAAGCGUUAAUCGGAAUUACUGGGCGUAAAGCGCGCGUAGGUGGUUUGUUAAGUUGGAUGUGAAAUCCCCGGGGCUCAACCUGGGGAACUGCAUUCAAAACUGACUGACUAGAGUAUGGUAGAGGGUGGUGGAAUUUCCUGUGUAGCGGUGAAAUGCGUAGAUAUAGGAAGGAACACCAGUGGCGAAGGCGACCACCUGGACUAAUACUGACACUGAGGUGCGAAAGCGUGGGGAGCAAACA